ACUCAGCAUAACAGGAGCUUGGAGAGAGGGCCACAGGAAGACUCCUUAAUUGGUUCCGUUCAUUGUAUAAAAGCUAGAUAUCCAUAUCCUGACCCCGAGAGCAUUUACAGGUUUCCCUCUGGGGCCAAAGGACUCUGCAGAUGUUAUUGUUGAGAUGGGAAACCCAUGCUGUAUUCAUUGUUCUGGUUGGCCUCAUGUAAUAACGGCGCUUCUUACAAAAGGGGCUGAGGAGUAGAGACAAGAGGAUGGUGCGAUUACCAAAGCAGAGGCCGGCAUGGUGCCCUCUAAAGAUAAGAAGGAGCCACAAGCCAGGAUCACAGGCAGAGUCCCACGAACUGGAGGAGAAAUGCAUACUUCUCCAGAACUUGAAAAGGAACUGGCCUUGACUUUAGACUGUUGAAAACAGACAGCACUUGGAGCGUCCAGGCCUGUAAGAGGGUAAAAUCAUGCAGUGUUGUGCAACCGAGUCUGCGGAGAUUUGUUACAGUAACAACGGAAAACUGGUACAGUGUAGCGGACUGAAUGGGCCUGAUGAAUAAAUUAUGCUGACUUCAUUUGCAUUCUUUCCCGGAUACACAAAAGGAAUUGAGUGUGUCAGAUGGUAGACCUGACGUUCCCACGGUCUCUUGGCACCGGAAGCUCAGCACACACUGUUCCCUCUCACGGAAUGCCCGUGAUGCAUGGCGUCUCAUUGGUUCUGGAUCAUUAGAGGCACCAGCAGAGACACCUGCUGUGGCCUUACCUGCUGUCUCCAGCCUGACCAGGGAAGCCUACAGGGCAGUGUGCACCGCUGUCAGACCACAUACUCCUCCCCAUACCUCCCUUGCAGCCACACAAAACAAGGACUUGCCUAAGGCCCUGCUGUCUCCGCAGCCUCUGUCACGAGCACUCAUCAGUGAGCACUCCAUCGGAUGCUAAGGUGCACAUAGUAUUUCAGAAAAGUCUAAAGUGUAAUAAAUCCUACCUUUGCUCUGGCUGAAAACACAAAUAAAGCUGGUUUUCUGGAAAGUAAUCCCAA